UUCUGCUCUCCUGAACCUUUGGUCUUGACUUGGCCGGUUUGAAGACCUCGCCGGUUUGAAGACCAGGAAGUUGAUAAAUCGCGAGGCCAGCUGCUGAAAGACGGCGGCUCGGGUGGGACAGUCGCCAGGGAUGGCGGAGUAUGAGGAUGGAGCGGGUGUCGGGGCUGCUCUCCUGGACGCUCAACAGGGUCCUGUGGCUCUCGGGCCUCUUUGAGCGGGGCGCUGCCCGGCAGCCCCGGAUCAUGGAAGAGAAAGCGCUAGAGGUUUAUGAUUUGAUUCGAACUAUCCGGGACCCAGAGAAGCCCAACACUUUGGAAGAACUGGAAGUGGUAACAGAAAGUUGUGUGGAGGUUCAGGAGAUAAAUGAAGAGGACUAUUUGGUUAUUAUCAGGUUCACACCAACCGUACCUCAUUGCUCUUUGGCGACUCUUAUUGGGCUGUGCUUAAGAGUAAAACUUCAGCGGUGUUUACCAUUUAAACAUAAGAUUCCAUGAAGCUGGCUGGGUUGCUGCAACAUCCAAAACCCAUUGUCAUCAACCAUGUCAUUAGCAUGGACCCUAACCACCAGAAGACAGCUUGUUAUGACAUUGAUGUGGAGGUGGAUGACCCACUCAAGGCCCAGAUGAGCAAUUUUCUGGCCUCUACCACCAGUCAGUAGGAGAUCGCCUCCCUAAUGUCAACAGCCAUGAGACCAUUGAUUCCAUCAACCCAGAGGGAUUUCAUGCUCAGCUUUAGCACUGACUCCCCCCAGGAUUUCAUCCAAGAGUGGCUCCAUUCCCAGCACAGAGACCUCAAGAUCAUCACUGAUGUGAUUGGGAAUCCUGAGGAGGAGAGAGAAACUGCUUUUUACCACCAGGGCCCUGGGACCAGGAAGCAGUGGGGAGGCAUAUCUUUGCCAAGAUGCAGCGAUGAAGGCCGGAACAGUUGGAAAUCUACAUUUCUGAAGGAACCCACUCAACAGAGGAAGACAUCAACAAGCAGAUAAAUGACAAAGAGCGAGUGGCAGCUGCAAUG